CUUUCUCCAGAAGCUUCCAUUCUCUCUCUGUAUCGCUUCCUGUUCAUCUUCAUCUUUUCUGAUUUUCAUCUUCAAAUCUUCAUGUUUUCAUGGUAUCAGAGCAGGAAAAUCUUCCGAUCCUUCUCUGUUAUGUGUUAUCAAUACUUGAUGAAACUUUUGCUGAAGUUUUUCUUCGGUUAUUUGAGAAAAAAUACUGUUCAUAUUUUUUUUUGAUGAAUGUUAAUCGGUUAAUCGGGACUUUUCUGACUGUUUGAGGCUACGAUCCUGUAUCAGUAGAUAUUUUGGGUGAUUUUUCGACAUCUCUGACUUUGUUCCGACGAGUUCUUCAAAUUCUAGGGUUUUCCGACUUUCGGACCUAGAGUUUUGGGGUUGUCCGAUGACUUUCUCUUCGCUUGAUGUACGCUUUGAGUAACUUUCCGGCGUCUGUAACCUUAUUUCGGUGAGUUUCAGAACCUAGGGUUUCCGGUGUUGGACCUAGGGUUUUCUCUGUUGAUUGAAGGCCGAUCUUCUCCGGUCGCGAAGAAGAAGGGUAACUAGAGUUUUGGUGUUAUCCGAUGACUUUAUCUUUGCUUGAUGGACGCUUUGGGUAACUUUCCGGCGUCUGUGACCUUAUUCCCGUGAGUUUCAGAACCUAGGGUUUCCGGUGUUGGACCUAGGGUUUUCUCUGUUGAUUGAAGGCCGAUCUUCUCCGGUCGCGGAGAAGGAGGGUAACUCUAACCUUAUUUUGAGUAUUGUAUGCUUUGUAUGUGAGUAUCUGGUUCCGUUAUAUUUUGCUUGUCGAAACUGUUUUUUCUUCCAAGCUGGUUCAUUAAUCAUGGCUUCUCAUACCAAUGCUGGAUCCUCCUACUCGGUAGACUCUACCAGCCCCCUCUUUGUAUACUCCUCUGAUGUCCCUGGGGUCUCUCUUGUCCCCACUCCCUUCUCGGGUAGUGGUUAUGGGGGUUGGAGGAGAAAAAUGAUUGUCACAUUAUCUGUUAAAAACAAAAUCGGAUUUGUUGACGGCUCAUGUCCUCGACCUACCACUAAUGUGGUUGAACAGAGGAUGUGGGAUAUAUGUAAUAACAUGGUCAUUUCCUGGUUGACCUCUUCUCUAUCUCCUCAGAUUGCUGAUAGUGUGCAGUAUUCAGAUACUGCACAGAGUAUAUGGUCCCAAAUUGAGAAAAGAUAUGGUACCCCUAACAAGACCAAAAUCUAUGAAUUAAAAAGGGAACUUUCCCACACAUCUCAAGGCUGCUUAGACGUAGACUCAUACUUUAACAAGCUCAAAGGCCUAUGGGAUGAGUCUGGGCACAAUGUGCACAAAUCAUGGGCAGAGAUGUGUGUGUGCUGCUAAAAAUUGAAUAAUUCAGGAAGAUGAUGAAAACAAGGUAUUCCAGUUUCUUGUGGGGUUAAAUGAAGCAUACAUGGGGGUUAGGAGUAACUUGUUGAUGAUGCGGCCAUUUCCUUCCCUUGACAGUGUUUACAAUAUAUUUCUUAAUGAUGAGAAACAGAGACAAGUUCAAUUUAUUUCCCAAAUCAGUCCAGACUUUAUGUCUUUUAAUGCUAAUACACAUAAGCACUCAGUUGGGUUUAAUCAGGCCACAGUGCCUAGUCCCCCUGUUUUCAGACCCAGAG
rnacentral:lncRNA from 1 species